AGAGAAUUCUCUUUUUACCACACAGAUAAAAUACGAUCCUCUCUGUUCCAUUUUACCAGCUGAUAAAUAAUUGUAAAAACCGCUUUGAAGACUAGACGAGGUAAAUACACGAGAUUGCCUCGCACGUUACCCGUCGCUCGUCCACGGAAGCGAAAAAAGGGAACAGAUUAAAAGUUGGAGCGGCGACGCUCGACAUCGGAUAGCGCAGAGGCAUGAAGCGUGCGACGCGACGCGUCGCGGAGACAUGAGAGGAGCCGACAGGGGCUAGGGGUCUGCGAGCUAUUUGUACACCGAAUGGAAAACGCGCCAAACACUCGCCUCCAGACGAGAGGAACCACGCUGGACCACGGGAAUGGGACUAGCUGGUUGACUGUUCGUCGCCGACGACUGCAUCAUGAUCGACUGUACAGUGAGAACCGGUGACGUGGUUGCCACGGGGGUGACGGUGUCCGAAUGGUGAUGAUGAUGAUGGUACAGAGCCGACGCGUAAUACUGCUGAUGAUGGUGAUGGUGGUGCGGAUGAUGCGCAUAAUGGCGACGUUGGCGACGGAGACGACUGCGAAUUGAUCAAGUUGCAGCUGGUGGCGAGGAUGUCGUGAACCGUGUGAGAACUCGGCCACUGUAGACCGACGGAAGUAGCCGUCUGAUGGCCGACACUGGGAUGAAUAGCGGUCGGGGAAGACGGUGACAGCUUGCCCGGCGUCGUCGGCCCAACUGGAAACGCACCGGUACCAAAUUGGUAUGGAGAGGUUCGUUCGAAUUCGAUUAUUCAGCGCUCGUAUCAAGAUGGAAGAAAGAGACGCGACUGUUGCCUGAUAUCCCGCGAGCUCGCUGCUAGAACUGAACGCACACUUCAAGUUGCGCUGGUGGAGAACGAAGUUUUCUUUUUUGGACAGCGGGCGGCGGCGUUGCGUGAUAAGGCGUCGGCGGAUACGGGACAGGACAAAGGGCGGCUCCAGCCGCGGCCGCGGCCG